GAGGAGGAUCUUGGGAUUUGACUGGUUUUAAUGGCCACACCUGAUUCUGGUUUUUCCACUGCAUCAGAAGGAAGAUCUUUGCUCUGGCAUUUCCCUGGAAAUCCUGGUCUUGUGGAAAGAUUUGGAUACUCAUGGGUGGGACAUCUGCCUUGAAGGAGACUACUUUUCCCUGGAGUGCUGAGAGUCAUCUGUCUGACAGCUACCAGUCAAAGACCACUUGGCUAAGCUUAGAGUCUAAGAAAAUUUCCAAAAGCACUGAAAGUUUAAGUGACUUGUCAAGAGGAACACAGCCAUUAUGCAUCACAACUGGGACAUCAAUGGAGGUCUUUCUGAUUCUGCUGACAAGUCACUAUCUACUAGUCUAUUUUGAUCUUCACCUGAAACACAGAAAGGAAGAUCUCAUGGGGAAAUGAGCAGAAUCAGGAAUACAAUUCAUGCCAAAACAGCAAAAUUCAAAGACAACAGGACAGGAGAAAAGGCUCCAUGUCGAGAACAAAGUGCAACAUUCAAAUACAGUCACUGGAGAAGGAAGAGUCACUAGCAGAAGUGAAGAGAAGAGGCAAGCCAUUGAAAUAUAACCGUGGCCCCAACUUCCAGAAAAAGAAUUAAUUCAGAGUCUUAAUAGAAUGGGGAUAAGGUUUAUAUAGAGUAAAUAAUAUAAGAGCAAUACAAAAGGUAGAUAAUAUGAUAUAGGUUGUAUAUAUUAUCAUAUAAUACAUAUUUCUACAUUCAUUAUAUUGUGAAAUAAGAUGCAUAUUGUUUACAGUAGAGAAGAAUUCAUGGGGUAAAUAAAGUGACAAACAGUCAUUUCA
rnacentral:lncRNA from 1 species